UACGUAGGUGGCAAGCGUUGUCCGGAAUCACUGGGCGUAAAGCGCGCGCAGGCGGCGAUCUACGUCUGGGGUGAAAGCCCGGAGCUCAACUCCGGGACUGCCUUGGAUACGGGAUCGCUUGAGGAUUGGAGAGGCAAGGGGAAUUCCACGUGUAGCGGUGAAAUGCGUAGAUAUGUGGAGGAACACCUGUGGCGAAGGCGCCUUGCUGGCCAAUUUCUGACGCUGAGGUGCGAAAGCGUGGGGAGCAAACAGG
rnacentral:rRNA from 1 species